rnacentral:lncRNA from 1 species
GGGUUAUCUCCUUUUCCAUAGAUCUUCCAAAAAAAAAAAAAGAAUGAAAUGAAGAAGAAAAUGAAGCGAAAAGCAAAAAAGAAAAAUAGUCUACAUGGGAAGAAGCCUUACCUAUGGCCGAAUAGGGAAACUUAAGCGGGUAGGAGGUCGGAGCGACGAAAUAGGAAAGCAGGAAGCUUACAAUGGCUAGGGUUUUGGGUCAAUGGGUCUCAGUGGCUGAAU